UCCGAAGGGGGCUAUCGUUGUUCGGAAUUACUGGGCGUAAAGGGCGCGUAGGCGGUGGGUUACGUCUGCCGUGAAGUCCCCGGGCUCAACCUGGGAAUGGCGGUGGAAACGGGCUGACUGGAGUAUGGGAGAGGGUGAUGGAAUUCCAGGUGUAGCGGUGAAAUGCGUAGAGAUCUGGAGGAACACCAGUGGCGAAGGCGGUCACCUGGCCCAAUACUGACGCUGAGGCGCGAAAGCGUGGGGAGCAAACAGG
rnacentral:rRNA from 1 species